UACGUAGGGUGCAAGCGUUAAUCGGAAUUACUGGGCGUAAAGCGUGCGUAGGCGGUUCGUUAAGUCUGUUGUGAAAGCCCCGGGCUCAACCUGGGAAUGGCAAUGGAUACUGGCGAGCUAGAGUGUGUCAGAGGAUGGUGGAAUUCCCGGUGUAGCGGUGAAAUGCGUAGAGAUCGGGAGGAACAUCAGUGGCGAAGGCGGCCAUCUGGGACAACACUGACGCUGAGGCACGAAAGCGUGGGGAGCAAACAGGG
rnacentral:rRNA from 1 species